rnacentral:lncRNA from 1 species
AUGGACUUUGCAAAGGUGCGGGAAGAGGGUGGGGGAAGUGCGGCUGUACCUUGUUGCGAAGGGCUGGAAGGGACGAGGGGCUGCAUCGCCGCGUUGUGCCUGAUCCAAGCCGGAGUGUGCGCGGUGUGUGAGCGCCUGCGUCCCUCCUGUGUUCCCCCGCCGGGAGGCAGAGGGCGACGGGGCGCCCGCGAUAGAGGGGAGCCGGCAGCAGUCGAGCCGGCUCCGGCCAUCGUGUUGCGGCAAAACAUUGCGGUAUGUCUGCACUCCUGGCCGGGCUUGCGACCCGCCGGCAGCGCCGCGCAGUGCCCCCGCUCGGCACCGGCCGGGCCCCGGGGCAGAGGAAGAGGAGGGGACCCGAGCGUGGGCGAGGCAGGGAUACGGAGGGGAGGAUGGAGCGGAGUGGUGCGGACGUGGGGCUGCCUCCGGGCAUGGGGCUGCCCCCUGGCCGGGAGCCUGCGGGAGUUAACAGCAGCUGCUCCGCUCUCUCUGCUCUCUGUGGUCCCUCUCCGGGGCCUCCUUGACCCCUUCAGCUAUCCCUUUCUCUCUCCCUUUCUUGCUGCCUCUGUUUUCCCCCUCCCUCUUGUCCUUCUGUCUUCCCUUCCUUGCUCUCUUGUCCCUCCUCUGCCCUCCCCUCCAGGUUCCCCAGCGCAUCCUUCGCUCCCUGUGGCUCCGAUUCCCCUUCCUCCUGCUGACUCCUGCUUUCUCCACUUCCAUCCCAGCUUCCUCCUUUCAACUCGGUGGCUUCCCACGGCGGGAAGUGAGAGGGACAACAAGUUGGGCACUGGGGCAGUGGGGAAGGUGGGGGGAGCAAUGCAUCGAUUAUUGACUGAUUUGCUAAAGGGAGUGGGAGAACUAGCUUCUGAAAUGCUCUGGCUCCAGUUCUGUGUGAAAAAUGGCAGCUCAGCUGGAUGGGCUGUACAUGAAGGCUUCUUGAAAGCCACCUCUGUAUCAGUGCAGGAUGAGAGCAAAUUACAUAACAUUUUGCAAGAAAAGAAAAAAAGGAAAAAGUUCUUCUCAGGUUUCAGUAGUGUCAGACUGAUGAACUGCGACUUACACCCUGCGAAUCAGGGUAUUGUUAUUCUGGGGGAUGGGGCUGAACGCCUGUGCAUGCUUCUUCCAUACCUGUGUGCUUCCAUUGGUCCCCCACGGCUGAUCUUCUCAUUUUCUGGACAGUUCAUUGUAUUUCUGUGA